rnacentral:Y_RNA from 1 species
GGCUGUUCUGAAGGUAGUGACUUAUCUCAAUUGAUUGUUCAUAGUCAGUUACAGACUGAACUCCUUGUUCUACUCUUCCUUCCUUUCUCACUGCUCCAAGACUUGACCAGUCUUUU